rnacentral:rRNA from 1 species
ACUUUGAUUCUGGCUCAGGAUGAACGCUAGCUACAGGCUUCACACAUGCAAGUCGAGGGGAAACGACAUCGAAAGCUUGCUUUUGAUGGGCGUCGACCGGCGCACGGGUGAGUAACGCGUAUCCAACCUGCCCAUCACUUGGGGAUAACCUUGCGAAAGUAAGACUAAUACCCAAUGACGUCUCUAGAAGACAUCUGAAAGAGAUUAAAGAUUUAUCGGUGAUGGAUGGGGAUGCGUCUGAUUAGCUUGUUGGCGGGGUAACGGCCCACCAAGGCAACGAUCAGUAGGGGUUCUGAGAGGAAGGUCCCCCACAUUGGAACUGAGACACGGUCCAAACUCCUACGGGAGGCAGCAGUGAGGAAUAUUGGUCAAUGGGCGAGAGCCUGAACCAGCCAAGUAGCGUGCAGGAUGACGGCCCUAUGGGUUGUAAACUGCUUUUAUAAGGGAAUAAAGUGAGUCUCGUGAGACUUUUUGCAUGUACCUUAUGAGUAAGGACCGGCUAAUUCCGUGCCAGCAGCCGCGGUAAUACGGAAGGUCCGGGCGUUAUUCGGAUUUAUUGGGUUUAAAGGGAGCGUAGGCCGGAGAUUAAGCGUGUUGUGAAAUGUAGACGCUCAACGUCUGCACUGCAGCGCGAACUGGUUUCCUUGAGUACGCACAAAGUGGGCGGAAUUCGUGGUGUAGCGGUGAAAUGCUUAGAUAUCACGAAGAACUCCGAUUGCGAAGGCAGCUCACUGGAGCGCAACUGACGCUGAAGCUCGAAAGUGCGGGUAUCGAACAGGAUUAGAUACCCUGGUAGUCCGCACGGUAAACGAUGGAUGCCCGCUGUUGGUCUGAAUAGGUCAGCGGCCAAGCGAAAGCAUUAAGCAUCCCCCUGGGGAGUACGCCGGCAACGGUGCAACUCAAAUGAAUUGACGG